ACAGUAGGAGAUCUACAAGUGGUUAUUGUGUUUUUCUUGGGAAUCAUUUGGUUUCAUGGAAGACCAAGAAACAGACAACUAUUUCUAGAUCUUCUGCCGAGGCUAAGUAUCGAUCAAUGGCCUCUACUUUUAUGAUAUCAUUUGGUUUCUGAUCUUAUUAUCUGAUUUUGGUGUUUCACAAUCUCAUAGUGCUCAACUUUUUUGUGAUAGUCAGGCUGCCUUACAUAUUGCUGUUAAUCCAGUUUUCCAUGAAAGAACGAAGCAUAUUGAGUUGGACUCCCAUUUUAUUCGGGAAA